rnacentral:rRNA from 1 species
AUUGAACGCUGGCGGCAUGCCUUACACAUGCAAGUCGAACGGCAGCACGGGUGCUUGCACCUGGUGGCGAGUGGCGAACGGGUGAGUAGUACAUCGGAACAUGUCCUGUAGUGGGGGAUAGCCCGGCGAAAGCCGGAUUAAUACCGCAUACGAUCCACGGAUGAAAGCGGGGGACCUUCGGGCCUCGCGCUAUAGGGUUGGCCGAUGGCUGAUUAGCUAGUUGGUGGGGUAAAGGCCUACCAAGGCGACGAUCAGUAGCUGGUCUGAGAGGACGACCAGCCACACUGGGACUGAGUCACGGCCCAGACUCCUACGGGAGGCAGCAGUGGGGAAUUUUGGACAAUGGGCGAAAGCCUGAUCCAGCAAUGCCGCGUGUGUGAAGAAGGCCUUCGGGUUGUAAAGCACUUUUGUCCGGAAAGAAAUCCUUGACUCUAAUACAGUCGGGGGAUGACGGUACCGGAAGAAUAAGCACCGGCUAACUACGUG